rnacentral:lncRNA from 1 species
AGCUGGUGCUUAUUUUUGUUUGUCUGUUUGUUUUCUUUCCCCCUCCUCCAGCUGCAGUGGCUUCCUACUAGGAUCCUAAGGUGAAAGGGAGAUGGAUGUAGAUGCAUUUUGGAAGUGGCUGCUGUUCCCCUCUUCUAGCCUGCAUCAGAUGGAAGACUGUUCUUGGGAAAUGGGGACAGACUCUGCAGUGGGAUGGGAAUGCCAGAUUGAAGACUGUGUGUACUGUCAAAGCAAAAACUGCACUGGACAAAGUUAAUCGGGUGCUGAAAACUUUAUUCAAGGCUAUUGCAAUAGGGGAGACAGAACAUAACUAAGGUAUCUCAAUUCUACUGAAACAAAGUGAGUUUUCAAGAGCUGGGAUUAGACUAAAGAAAUCACAGGCCAUCUUUGUUGGCUAAUUAGCUUUACCCAAAGGAAAAGUAAACAGUCUUCCUACUUUCCUGACAGGACACAGUUUUACAACUUGAAGCAAGGCAUUCACUGAAUUUAGGCUCCUACCACCCCCCAGACAUUAGAGGAUGAGGGUAUUAUCUUCCUAGAUGAG